AUACGGAGGGGGCAAGCGUUGUUCGGAAUUACUGGGCGUAAAGGGCGCGUAGGCGGAUUGUCAAGUCAGAGGUGAAAGCCCUGGGCUCAACCCGGGAACUGCCUUUGAAACUAACGGUCUAGAGUCCGAGAGAGGAUGGCGGAAUUCCCAGUGUAGAGGUGAAAUUCGUAGAUAUUGGGAAGAACACCAGUGGCGAAGGCGGCCAUCUGGCUCGGUACUGACGCUGAGGCGCGAAAGCGUGGGGGGCAAACAGGAUUAGAAACCCUAGUAGUCC
rnacentral:rRNA from 1 species